rnacentral:lncRNA from 10 species
CAUCGGCCAGAGCUCCUGGGCUCAGCUCUCUCCCCAGUUCAAAUGAACGGCUCCUGGCGAACGAGAAUCUUGUUUCUAAUUCCCAGUUCCCAAGCUGGCCUGGUCUGUGUGAAGCAGCUACAUGGUCAAGUCAUCAGCGUCAGACAGGGUCAUGAGACUACACAUAAAGGUGUUCACCGAGGGCUGCACGGGGCCCGAGACCCAGCCCAGCCUGGCUCACCCAGCCCGGCUACCUGGCGUGGGCUGGCUGCUGCUGGGAAGGGCCCCUCUCAAAUGCACACAGGCACAACGGCAGCUGAUGACAAAUGGCUCCACUCCUUCCUGCCUUCACGCCUUCUGCAAGAAUGCAGUGAAGUGCCACUGUGCCAGUUCCAGGCCUGAGACUUAACAAGACCCAGCAGCUUUGGCCUGUGCGUUCUCAGGAGACUGCUGCCACCUAAGAAGUCUGACCAGCCUGAUGGAGAGGGGCUACCCAGAGGACAUUGAGGGUGCAGAGAUGUGAGUGAUAAGUCAUCUUGGACAUUCUGCCACCAUCUGACGGCAACUGCAUGAGAGACCACAAGCAGAAGAACUACCCAGCUGAGCCCAGCCAACCCACAGAACCCUGAGAAAUAAUAACGAAGUGUUGUUUCAAUGGUGUGUUUGUUACGCAGCAAUAGGUAGCUGGUGCACUCUACUUACCAGCCAAGGGUUCUUGUGCAAGUCAUUUGCGUGAACUCUACUGCACUUUGCAAAUGGGGGUGAUUCUCACUAAUCUAAGCCAGGAAAGUCUACCUGCUCACCCUGGGUAUCAUGAAGAACAGCUUUAGAACAAUACUUUAGUUCCCUCUUACAAAGCCAUAAAGGUUCCAGAAAUGUGAGGUUCAGACUCAGAGAACCCAGUAAUCUAUCAUCCCAAAUACACAUCCGAGAGGGUUGUUCCCCUCUUGAAGGGUCACCGGCAGCUCCUCAUCUCUGGACCUUUCUGGGUCUGCCCUGCCCACUAGUCAGCCCCAUCUCCCAUCCCCCACUGGCCCCUUCCCCAGUUUGUACAUUUGACAACGUAUGACUUGGUGUUCUAGCUGCGGCUCAAAUGCUGCCUCCUCUGACACCUUCCCUGUCCUCUGGGCAGGCUAGGGUGCUCCUCAUCUGUUCCCACA